ensembl:lncRNA
AAAUGAGGGCCAAGCAGAUGAGUAUAUAUAGCUUCCCACAUACUCAGAAUGUAGGAGCUGUCUGAAAACACUGUGAUUAGAGUCAAUGUGCUUGAUACAGCACCACAGACAUUGUACACAGCUGUCAAUCCUAUACUGAACAUCUUAUUUUAUAUCCUGAGGUUCUGCAGCCCCUCAUCAGGUGAAUGAUGCAAAGUUGCCAUUCAUGUUGCAGAACAGACAAUGGAGAAAUCCUCCAGACAGAACCCUCUACAUGUUUCUGGUUAGGAAGAAUAAAUUUUUCCUUCUUUUGGCAUCAACAGAAAUACAGAUGCAAAAGCAAGACCUGGAUAAAUGAGACAAGUAUUGUUCCUUCAAGCAGAAUGUCCUGACUUCAAGACAGAAUACACGCCAUCAUCCCUUCGGCAAGCAGGAGGACGGGGUUCCCACGUUAGCAGCAGCAGCAGUUGGGAUUCCUAGAAAGACGCAGUGCCUUCGGGUGCCCAACCCAUCCCCGCGCCCUGCUGGGAUGCACGGCCAUUGCGGUGUGCAGGGAGAGUGAUCCCAAAACACAUCCAGCGCCACACCAACCUGCGAAUGGCGGUGGCACAUCUUCAAACCUCCCCGAAACCCAAGGCGGAAUUUCACCCUUUCCCACUUGUAUAGCUGCAAACAAACGCCGUGCUUGGCCUGAACGCGUCAGCGCGUGGGUUGUAGGGCCACACAGAGCCCCCGUUUCGUUGUGCUGCAGCAGCAGCCUGCUGCACCCCACAGCAUAUCUGCAUUUUCCUAUGGCAGGAAGGUGCAGCAGUGGGGCCACUGUAGCAAAAUGCCUCCACACCCUGCUCCAUCCACAGCCAAAUACGAAACACCAAUCCAAGAGUUUUCUUCAAGCUAUAAAAAUAAAGCAAAGUUGUUCCCAGGGAACAGAGAAAAAGUCAAUUCCACAGUCCCUGCACAGUUAUAAGCGCUCUCCAUAAGACUGAAUGCUUUUUUCUGCCUCGGAACAGCCCUCUCUGAUCCAGCAGAGCAAAGUUUGUUGAUAUUCGGGGUUGCAAACCCAUGUGUUUACUCAGGCUUUUGUCUGUCAGCAGAGUUUGAAGAGGUCGCUUUGAGAGAUCAAUAUUUUUUCCUGGGGGUUUCUUCAGAGCUACCACAAUUUGUUAUUGCGUCUGUUUAGAGGCUUUAAUUUGUGGUUUUCAAGAUUGCAUAACUGAGCAGAGAGGUGGUGAGAGGCCCACAUGAAGAGUUCAAAAUAAAUUUGACAAUAUAGUAAAUAUCUGCUCAGUAAUUUUCCCUGGUCUGAAUGCCACAGAAUGCCAACAGAGCCAUUAGUCAGGCUGGGUAUGAAGGUGCCUUUAUGGGAUCAGGGCACAUGUUUCCAUCCAGAUGGUACAGAACUGGAUUCACCUCACACGUCACUGACACCAACAGAGGACGUCCCUCUGGGGGCUCCCACCCGGGUGCCCAUUUAUAGGUUGCUCUAAAAGGCGUUGCUUUGAACCAGAUAUGGAAAAAUUAAAAUGAGACUUUAAUUUUGCCCUUUGCUCAGAGUUCUCAUAGUAAUUUACAUCAAAAUGAACCGAGCCGCUCGCCUCCCAUAAGGCGGCCCAGGGGUUGAUUGUAUAUCAGUCCUGCAGACAUCAGCUGGGAGGUGUGGGGAUGCACACGGGGAUGCAUUCACUGCAGAUGGGAACUGUGGCCCCACAGGUCAUUGGGGGGCUGCAGGUGGAAGCCCAGCACUGACACCAUACAGAAAUGGGGUUCUCAGCAUAGACACUGCACGGCAUCCUCCAGCCAAGCAUCCCCGGCUCCGGGAGGAAGCACCUGUAAGCAUGGUGUCAGGGCACUGCGUGAAUGGGUGACGAGUUGGGGUUGGACUUGAUGAUCUUAGCAGUGUUUUCCAACCUUAAUGAUUCUAUGAUUCUACGACUGCAGGAGCACAUGUACAUAGCAGAGGGCAGUGUUCAGCGCUUCGGACAGCUCUCACAGACAGUUCUGAGGAAGGUGGUGAAGAAGUGAUGUGCACGCUGCGGACUGGGAGCCCUGUGUCAGCAGAGCCGCAGGACCGGCAGGCUUUGCCUGGAACUGCGUCUAGAUCUGAGCCGGGACCCCCGGGGGGACAGCCGGGCAGGCGCGAGGCGAACAGCCCCGGGACGGG